UACAGAGACCUCAAGCGUUAUCCGGAUUUAUUGGGCGUAAAGCGUCCGCAGGUGGUUUGGCAACUCAGGGGUUAAAUCCAACCGCUCAACGGUUGGUUCGCCUUUGAAAAUACCAAACUUGAAGGUGGAAGAGGUGAGCGGAAUUCUCGGUGUAGUCGUAAUAAGCGUUGAUAUCGAGAAGAACACCAAAUGCGAAGGCAGCUCACUGGUACACUCUUGACACUCAUGGACGAAAGCGUGGGGAGCAAACAGG
rnacentral:rRNA from 1 species